GGAAGGCAGCAGGCGCGCAACUUACCCACUCCCGGCACGGGGAGGUAGUGACGAAAAAUACCUUGUCGGGACUAAGUCUAGUUCCCGUCGGAGGAAUGCGGGUGCAACAGACACGCAUCCCAACCCAUUGGAGGGCAAGACUGAUGCCAGCAGCAGCGGCAACAUCAGCUCCAAUAGCGUAUAUUAAAAUUGUUGCGGUUAAAACGCUCGUAGUUGAAUCUCUGCCCCGAGCCUCCCCCUUUUGUCCCCUGUUGGGACCUAACCCGGGGGGAGGGUCUGGCAUAGGGGUCCUUUCUCCGGGGGGGAUUGUCAAAGGUUCCCCCCGGGGUCUGGAGCCAAGUUACUUUGAACUAAAUAGUGGUGCUCAAGUAACACGAAACCUAAUAAUUGUGGUGCAUGGAAUAACGGAAGAGGACCUGCGUCCUCACUCGGUUGGUCUGAAGAAGGAAAGGUAAUGAUUAAGAGGAGCAGACGGGGGCAUUCGUAGUGCGGCGCUAGGGGUGAAAUCCGGUGACCGUCGCACGACGAACUACUGCGAAAGCAUUUGCCAAGAAUGUUUCCAUUAACCAAGAACGAAAGUCAGAGGAUCGAAGGUGAUUAGAUACCGCCCUAGUUCUGACCCUAAACCAUGUCGACCAGCUAUCACCCUGCCUGAAUAUUGCGUGGCGGGUGGAAGCUUGCUCGGGAAACCAGAGUAUCUGGGUUCC
rnacentral:rRNA from 1 species